rnacentral:rRNA from 1 species
UACGUAGGGGGCAAGCGUUGUCCGGAUUUAUUGGGCGUAAAGCGCUCGCAGGCGGUCCCGUGCGUCGUGCGUGAAAGGCCCCGGCUCAACCGGGGGCGGUCGUGCGAUACGGCGGGACUGGAGGCCAGUAGGGGGACGCGGAAUUCCGGGUGUAGUGGUGGAAUGCGUAGAGGAUCCGGAGGAACACCAGUGGCGGACGCGAGGCGGCCUGCUGUCGGGUCGG